rnacentral:tRNA from 1 species
ACCUCGCUGGCUCAGUCAGUUGAGCAUAUGACUUUGACUCAAAAUUCAUAAGUUCGAGUCCUACAUGGGGUG